rnacentral:snRNA from 1 species
GUCCAAGACAUUUCGGUGUUUUGGACAUUUGGUCAAUUUGAAACAAUACAGAGAUGAUCAGCAGUUCCCCUGCAUAAGGAUGAACCGUUUUACAAAGAGAUUUACUUCAUUUUU